rnacentral:rRNA from 1 species
ACCUUCGGGCCUCUUGCCAUCAGAUGUGCCCAGAUGGGAUUAGCUUGUUGGUGAGGUAACGGCUCACCAAGGCGACGAUCCCUAGCUGGUCUGAGAGGAUGACCAGCCACACUGGAACUGAGACACGGUCCAGACUCCUACGGGAGGCAGCAGUGGGGAAUAUUGCACAAUGGGCGCAAGCCUGAUGCAGCCAUGCCGCGUGUAUGAAGAAGGCCUUCGGGUUGUAAAGUACUUUCAGCGGGGAGGAAGGGGAUAAGGCUAAUAACCUUGUUCAUUGACGUUACCCGCAGAAGAAGCACCGGCUAACUCCGUGCCAGCAGCCGCGGUAAUACGGAGGGUGCAAGCGUUAAUCGGAAUUACUGGGCGUAAAGCGCACGCAGGCGGUCUGUCAAGUCGGAUGUGAAAUCCCCGGGCUCAACCUGGGAACUGCAUUCGAAACUGGCAGGCUUGAGUCUUGUAGAGGGGGGUAGAAUUCCAGGUGUAGCGGUGAAAUGCGUAGAGAUCUGGAGGAAUACCGGUGGCGAAGGCGGCCCCCUGGACAAAGACUGACGCUCAGGUGCGAAAGCGUGGGGAGCAAACAGGAUUAGAUACCCUGGUAGUCCACGCCGUAAACGAUGUCUACUUGGAGGUUGUGCCCUUGAGGCGUGGCUUCCGGAGCUAACGCGUUAAGUAGACCGCCUGGGGAGUACGGCCGCAAGGUUAAAACUCAAAUGAAUUGACGGGGGCCCGCACAAGCGGUGGAGCAUGUGGUUUAAUUCGAUGCAACGCGAAGAACCUUACCUGGUCUUGACAUCCACAGAACUUUCCAGAGAUGGAUUGGUGCCUUCGGGAACUGUGAGACAGGUGCUGCAUGGCUGUCGUCAGCUCGUGUUGUGAAAUGUUGGGUUAAGUCCCGCAACGAGCGCAACCCUUAUCCUUUG